rnacentral:rRNA from 1 species
AGUGAACGCUGGCGGUAGGCCUAACACAUGCAAGUCGAACGGCAGCACAGUAAGAGCUUGCUCUUACGGGUGGCGGGUGGCGGACGGGUGAGGAAUACAUCGGAAUCUACUUUUUCGUGGGGGAUAACGUAGGGAAACUUACGCUAAUACCGCAUACGACCUACGGGUGAAAGCAGGGGAUCUUUGGACCUUGCGCGAUUGAAUGAGCCGAUGUCGGAUUAGCUAGUUGGCGGGGUAAAGGCCCACCAAGGCGACGAUCCGUAGCUGGUCUGAGAGGAUGAUCAGCCACACUGGAACUGAGACACGGUCCAGACUCCUACGGGAGGCAGCAGUGGGGAAUAUUGGACAAUGGGCGCAAGCCUGAUCCAGCCAUACCGCGUGGGUGAAGAAGGCCUUCGGGUUGUAAAGCCCUUUUGUUGGGAAAGAAAAGCAGCAGGUUAAUACCCCGCUGUUCUGACGGUACCCAAAGAAUAAGCACCGGCUAACUUCGUG